rnacentral:rRNA from 1 species
GACGAACGCUGGCGGCGUGCCUAAUACAUGCAAGUAGAACGCUGAAGGAGGAGCUUGCUCUUCUGGAUGAGUUGCGAACGGGUGAGUAACGCGUAGGUAACCUGCCUGGUAGCGGGGGAUAACUAUUGGAAACGAUAGCUAAUACCGCAUAACAGUAGAUGUUGCAUGACAUUUACUUAAAAGGUGCAAUUGCAUCACUACCAGAUGGACCUGCGUUGUAUUAGCUAGUUGGUGGGGUAACGGCUCACCAAGGCGACGAUACAUAGCCGACCUGAGAGGGGGAUCGGCCACACGGGGACUGAGAAACGGCCCAGACUCCUACGGGAGGCAGCAGUGGGGAAUCUUCGGCAAUGGACGGAAGUCUGACCGAGCAACGCCGCGUGAGGGAAGAAGGUUUUCGGAUCGUAAAGCUCUGUUGUAAGAGAAGAACGGGGGUGGGGGGGGAAAGUUCACACUGUGACGGUAUUUUACCAGAAAGGGACGGCUAACUACGU